CGGGUGAGUAACGCGUGGGCAACCUGCCCCGCACUGGGGGACAACAGCCGGAAACGGCUGCUAAUACCGCAUAUGCGCACAGCUUUGCAUGAAGCAGUGUGGAAAACUCCGGUGGUGCGGGAUGGGCCCGCGUCUGAUUAGCUGGUUGGCGGGGCAACGGCCCACCAAGGCGACGAUCAGUAGCCGGCCUGAGAGGGUGGACGGCCACAUUGGGACUGAGACACGGCCCAGACUCCUACGGAAGGCAGCAG
rnacentral:rRNA from 1 species